CCUGGAUUCCCGGUAUUGAAUAGUUUGUGUCUUACAACAUCGUCAAGACGCAACAAAAUCCAAAUAUUUCAUCAUGAUUUCUUCUCCUUCAAGGAAAAAAAGAAAAACGUAAGGAAAUUAGAUAAAAGAGAAGAUUCCGAUAAAAUUGGAACGGUAUUAUAAGUUUAAUUUUCGAAUGAGUGUGAUUUACUCACAAGUUCGAACCAUAUCGCUAUAUGCUAUUAUUAACCGUUACGUCAUAGAAAAACAAAACAAAUACAUUAAAGAUUACUCCUAUCGAUAUAAGAUUAAUUAUGGUUCUUUGCCGAGACUUAAAGGAAGCUUUUUGUCGCUCUUCGUUACAUCCAUCCAGCGAGUACUAUUUACAUAGAGAGUUGACGAUUUUUCUGGAAACACUGAUUUGAUUAAUUAUUCGACCAAACGGCAUCAUAUUUGGAAAUCUAUCUCAUGUAUUCAUGAGAAACUUUCGUUUGCCAAGAAGAAUCCCUCUAUUCGUUUCCUAGUCUCAGUUUUCCUAUUUCUUCAAGGUGGGUUUCGAGUAACUCUCAUCAUCUUCACUUAUAUGCUAAUGUAAAAGAAAUGCAAACAUCGGAAUAGGUUUCCUUAGUGACUUAGUUUCCUUGACACGUAGUGACGAAUGAUAAACAUAAGGAGAGUCCGAAAUUAUAUUUACUAGCAAUGAUACAUUUUAUACUUUUUGGGAUUUUGUGUUAACUAUUAUUAAAUUAAGCAUUAAAAUAUUACUUACGAAAAAUUGAAUUAUGACGCGUAUGCCUGAAUAAUUGGCAAUUUAUAAACAUACUUAAAUAAUUUGCAAUUAUUUAAUAUUUUACUAGACUAUUCUUAUAUUCUCCCUUAUAAGGAGCUCAAUAAAAAUUCAAUACUUGUC
rnacentral:lncRNA from 1 species